rnacentral:rRNA from 1 species
UACGUAGGUGGCAAGCGUUAUCCGGAUUUAUUGGGCGUAAAGAGAGCGCAGGCGGUCUUUUAAGUCUGAUGUGAAAGCCUUCGGCUUAACCGGAGUAGUGCAUUGGAAACUGGGAGACUUGAGUGCAGAAGAGGAGAGUGGAACUCCAUGUGUAGCGGUGAAAUGCGUAGAUAUAUGGAAGAACACCAGUGGCGAAAGCGGCUCUCUGGUCUGUAACUGACGCUGAGGUUCGAAAGCGUGGGUAGCAAACAGG